AGUGAACGCUGGCGGUAGGCCUAACACAUGCAAGUCGAACGGCAGCACAGUAAGAGCUUGCUCUUACGGGUGGCGAGUGGCGGACGGGUGAGGAAUACAUCGGAAUCUACUUUUUCGUGGGGGAUAACGUAGGGAAACUUACGCUAAUACCGCAUACGACCUACGGGUGAAAGCAGGGGAUCUUCGGACCUUGCGCGAUUGAAUGAGCCGAUGUCGGAUUAGCUAGUUGGCGGGGUAAAGGCCCACCAAGGCGACGAUCCGUAGCUGGUCUGAGAGGAUGAUCAGCCACAUGGGAAUUGAGAAACGGUCCAGACCCCCACGGGGGGCAGAGGGGGGGAAUUUGGGAAAAGGGGCGCAAGCCUGACCCAGCCAUACCGGGGGGGUGAAGAAGGCCUUCGGGUUGUAAAGCCCUUUUGUUGGGGGAAAAAAGCAGCAGGUUAAAACCCCGCUGUUCUGCCGGUACCAAAAGAAAAAGCACCGGCUACCUUCGG
rnacentral:rRNA from 1 species